rnacentral:rRNA from 1 species
AUGAACGCUAGCUACAGGCUUAACACAUGCAAGUCGAGGGGCAGCAUGGUCUUAGCUUGCUAAGGCCGAUGGCGACCGGCGCACGGGUGAGUAACACGUAUCCAACCUGCCGUCUACUCUUGGACAGCCUUCUGAAAGGAAGAUUAAUACAAGAUGGCAUCAUGAGUCCGCAUGUUCACAUGAUUAAAGGUAUUCCGGUAGACGAUGGGGAUGCGUUCCAUUAGAUAGUAGGCGGGGUAACGGCCCACCUAGUCUUCGAUGGAUAGGGGUUCUGAGAGGAAGGUCCCCCACAUUGGAACUGAGACACGGUCCAAACUCCUACGGGAGGCAGCAGUGAGGAAUAUUGGUCAAUGGGCGAGAGCCUGAACCAGCCAAGUAGCGUGAAGGAUGACUGCCCUAUGGGUUGUAAACUUCUUUUAUAAAGGAAUAAAGUCGGGUAUGCAUACCCGUUUGCAUGUACUUUAUGAAUAAGGAUCGGCUAACUCCGUGCCAGCAGCCGCGGUAAUACGGAGGAUCCGAGCGUUAUCCGGAUUUAUUGGGUUUAAAGGGAGCGUAGAUGGAUGUUUAAGUCAGUUGUGAAAGUUUGCGGCUCAACCGUAAAAUUGCAGUUGAUACUGGAUAUCUUGAGUGCAGUUGAGGCAGGCGGAAUUCGUGGUGUAGCGGUGAAAUGCUUAGAUAUCACGAAGAACUCCGAUUGCGAAGGCAGCCUGCUAAGCUGCAACUGACAUUGAGGCUCGAAAGUGUGGGUAUCAAACAGGAUUAGAUACCCUGGUAGUCCACACGGUAAACGAUGAAUACUCGCUGUUUGCGAUAUACUGCAAGCGGCCAAGCGAAAGCGUUAAGUAUUCCACCUGGGGAGUACGCCGGCAACGGUGAAACUCAAAGGAAUUGACGGGGGCCCGCACAAGCAGCGGAGCAUGUGGUUUAAUUCGAAGCAACGCGAAGAACCUUACCUGCUCUUGACAUCCCGGUGACGGCAGAGUAAUGUCUGCUUUUCUUCGGAACACCGGUGACAGGUGGUGCAUGGUUGUCGUCAGCUCGUGCCGUGAGGUGUCGGCUUAAGUGCCAUAACGAGCGCAACCCUUGUUGUCAGUUACUAACAGGUUUCGCUGAGGACUCUGACAAGACUGCCAUCGUAAGAUGUGAGGAAGGUGGGGAUGACGUCAAAUCAGCACGGCCCUUACGUCCGGGGCUACACACGUGUUACAAUGGGGGGUACAGAGGGCCGCUACCACGCGAGUGGAUGCCAAUCCCAAAAACCUCUCUCAGUUCGGACUGGAGUCUGCAACCCGACUCCACGAAGCUGGAUUCGCUAGUAAUCGCGCAUCAGCCACGGCGCGGUGAAUACGUUCCCGGGCCUUGUACACACCGCCCGUCAAGCCAUGGGAGCCGGGGGUACCUGAAGUGCGUAACCGCGAGGAGCGCCCUAGGGUAAAACUGGUGACUGGGGCU